rnacentral:rRNA from 1 species
ACGAUGUCGACUUGGAGGUUGUGCCCUUGAGGCGUGGCUUCCGGAGCUAACGCGUUAAGUCGACCGCCUGGGGAGUACGGCCGCAAGGUUAAAACUCAAAUGAAUUGACGGGGGCCCGCACAAGCGGUGGAGCAUGUGGUUUAAUUCGAUGCAACGCGAAGAACCUUACCUGGCCUUGACAUCCAGAGAACUUAGCAGAGAUGCUUUGGUGCCUUCGGGAACUCUGAGACAGGUGCUGCAUGGCUGUCGUCAGCUCGUGUUGUGAAAUGUUGGGUUAAGUCCCGCAACGAGCGCAACCCUUAUCCUUUGUUGCCAGCGGUUCGGCCGGGAACUCAAAGGAGACUGCCGGUGAUAAACCGGAGGAAGGUGGGGAUGACGUCAAGUCAUCAUGGCCCUUACGGCCAGGGCUACACACGUGCUACAAUGGCGCAUACAAAGAGAAGCGACCUCGCGAGAGCAAGCGGACCUCAUAAAGUGCGUCGUAGUCCGGAUUGGAGUCUGCAACUCGACUCCAUGAAGUCGGAAUCGCUAGUAAUCGUAGAUCAGAAUGCUACGGUGAAUACGUUCCCGGGCCUUGUACACACC